AAGGGAAUACCGUGAUCAUGUAGGCGGUUCCCCCAGGGCGAGGCUGCUCCAUUGCAUUGCGGAGUGGUUGACCCUUACGAUUAUUUUUAUUUCUAU
rnacentral:snRNA from 9 species